UAAAUGGAUAACACUGCACUGCUGAC
rnacentral:piRNA from 1 species